CGGACGGGUGAGUAACGCGUGAGAAUUUGCCUUUAGGAGGGGGACAACAACUGGAAACGGUUGCUAAUACCCCAUAUGCUUUCGAGUGAAAUGGAUUUUUCCGCCUAAAGAGAAGCUUGCGGCUGAUUAGCUUGUUGGUGAGGUAAUGGCUCACCAAGGCGACGAUCAGUAUCUGGUUUGAGAGGAUGAUCAGACACACUGGAACUGAGACACGGUCCAGACUCCUACGGGAGGCAGCAGUGGGGAAUUUUCCGCAAUGGGCGAAAGCCUGACGGAGCAAUCUCGCGUGAGGGAUGACGGCCUAUGGGUUGUAAACCUCUUUUUUCAGGGAGGAACAAAAUGACGUGUACCUGAAGAAUAAGCAUCGGCUAACUCCGUGCCAGCAGCCGCGGUAAGACGGAGGAUGCAAGUGUUAUCCGGAAUCACUGGGCGUAAAGCGUCUGUAGGUGGUUUGAUAAGUCAACUGUUAAAUCUUGAAGCUCAACUUCAAAAUCGCAGUCGAAACUAUUAGACUAGAGUAUAGUAGGGGUAAAGGGAAUUUCCAGUGGAGCGGUGAAAUGCGUAGAUAUUGGAAAGAACACCGAUGGCGAAGGCACUUUACUGGGCUAUUACUGACACUCAGAGACGAAAGCUAGGGUAGCAAAUGGGAUUAGAUACCCAGUAGUC
rnacentral:rRNA from 1 species